rnacentral:rRNA from 1 species
AUGUCCGCAUCAUCAUCAUCACGCACGACCACCGGCGUCAUUGUCACGCAUGGCUGCCAUCGCCGUUCGCCUCAUCGUCAACUUCGGCCUCAUCUUCUCAGCUGCUCGGCACCGACCUCCGUAGUGGAGGCGCAGGCCCAGCACGGCGUAGGCACGCAUCGCUCCUUCCUCCAGCGUCGGUUGCCGGUGACGGUCUCGGUGGCGGGGGUGCGCUACAACAGCAAGUUACGAAACAACUUCAUCCCGCAACCGAUGGCCGUUCAGAAUUGA